rnacentral:rRNA from 1 species
UAGGGAAUAUUGGGCAAUGGAGGGAACUCUGACCCAGCCAUGCCGCGUGCAGGAUGAAGGCGUUAUGCGUUGUAAACUGCUUUUUAUAUAGGAAGAAAUAGUCCUUGCGAGGAAAGUUGACGGUACUAUAUGAAUAAGCACCGGCUAACUCCGUGCCAGCAGCCGCGGUAAUACGGAGGGUGCAAGCGUUGUCCGGAUUUAUUGGGUUUAAAGGGUGCGUAGGCGGUUUAUUAAGUCAGUGGUGAAAGACGGUCGCUCAACGAUUGCAGUGCCAUUGAUACUGGUAGACUUGAGUAUGAUUGAGGUAGCUGGAAUGGAUAGUGUAGCGGUGAAAUGCAUAGAUAUUAUCCAGAACACCAAUUGCGUAGGCAAGUUACUAAGUCAUAACUGACGCUGAGGCACGAAAGUGUGGGUAUCAAACAGGAUUAGAUACCCAGGUAGUCCCUGAGCGGGCUGGCAAGGCGCAU